rnacentral:lncRNA from 10 species
UUAUUUCUUUUGCUUUGCAGAAGCUUUUUAGUUUAAUUAGGUCCCAUCUAUUUAUGUUUAUUUUUGUUACAUUUACUUUUGAGGUCUUAGUCACGAAUUAUUUGCCUAGGCUGAUGUCUAGAAGAGUUUUUCCAUUGUUAUCUUCUAGAAUUUUUAUAGUUUCAGGUCUUAUAUUUAAGUCUUUGACCCAUCUUGAGCUGAUUUUUGUAUAGGUGAAAGAUAGGGAUCUAGUUUCAUUCUUCUGCAUACAGCUAUCCAAUUUUCCCAGCACCAUUUAUUGAAUAGGGUGUCUUUUCCCCAGUUUAUGUUUUUGUUUGCUUUGUCAAAGAUCAGUUAGCUGUACCUAUUUGGCUUCAUUUCUGGGUUCUCUAUUCUAUUCCAUUGGUCUAUGUGCCUACUUUUAUACCAGUACCAUGCUGUUUUGGUUUCUAUAGCCUUGUAGUAUAAUUUGAAGUCUGCUAAUCUGAUGCCUCCAGAUUUGUUCUUUUUGCUUAGGAUGGCUUUGGCUAUUAGGUCUCUUCUUCGGUUCCAUAUGAAUUUUAGGAUUUUUUUUUCUAAUUCUGGGAAAAAUGAUGAUGGUAUUUUGAUGGGAAUUGCAUUGAAUCUAUGGAUUGCUCUGAGUAGUAUGGUCAUUUUCACAAUAUUGAUUCUUCCAAUCCACGAACAUGGGAUGCAUUUUCAUUUGUUUGUGUCAUCUAUUAUUUCUUUCAGCAGUGUUUUGUAGUUCUCCUUGUAGAGAUCUUUCACCUCCUUGGUUAGGUGUAUACUUAGGUUUUUUGGUUUUUUGUGGGAGUUUUUUUUUUUUUUGCAGCUAUUGUAAAGGGAUUGAGUUCUUGAUUUGAUUCUCAGCUUCGUUGUUGUUGGUGCUACUGAUUUGUGUACACUGCUUUGGUAACCUGAGACUUUACUGAAUUCGUUUAUCAAAUCCAAGAGUCUUUUGGGGGAGUCUUUAGGAUUUUCUAGGUAUAUAAUCAUAUCGUCAGCAAACAGUGAUAUUUUGACUUCCUCUUUUCCAAUAAUCUUUCUCUUGCGUUCUUGCUCUGGCUAGGGCUUCCAGAACUAUGUUGAAUAGAAGUGGUGAGAGUGGGCAUCCUUGUCUUGUUCCUAUUCUCAGGGGGAGUGCUUCGACCUUCUCCCCAUUCAGUAUGAUGCUGGCUGUGGGUUUGUCAUAGAUGCCAAUGCCACUUACUUUUCUUCUGCCAGAAGUGCUGGCUCAUCCCACAACCGAAGAGAACUUCCCAUCCACACGUUCGCUGCCGCAGCUUCCUACUUUACUCGCGUCUCCCUCCUGAGGAAUCCAGGGCAUAAGGAGGGAAGAGCCAAGGGCCAGGUCUGGCCGGGAUUCCAGGGCUGCACUCCAGGGCAUGGACUUCCCACCUGGGAUCUCAGGGGAAUCACCAGCUGCACCCACCAGGAAACAGGGAGGCAGGUCUGAAGCCAGCAAUCCGACCAGGAGAGUCCAAAUCGGGCUCACAGAACACUGAUGUGGGCCAGCUGCCCACAGGGGUUCCUGUCCCGGCCACUGCACCUUUGCUGGGACACAGUAGGUCCUUGAGGCAGUCCCUCCACUGGGGACAGUGCCAGCAGCCUGCACUGUCACCCCAGGCAGCACCUUGCAUUCUGGCCAUGACAUUUUUGGUGAUAACUAAGAGCCAUCCUAAAAGCCUAGAACUGAGAUUUGGAGGAGGCAGGAUUUCGAAUGGCCUGCAGUGGGCCCAGGAUCCCAGCACCCCCACCCUGGCAGGAAGCUCCCCGGGGCAGCCCCACUCCAGGGAGCUCCUCUGAAUCCCCCUCAGUGUGAGUCUGCACCAGCUGGCAAGCCUCCUGCAGGCCACGACAGCCACUGGGGAAGCCACAAAGACACUGUGUGACUCUAGACUUCACCUCCCAAACCACGUUCAUCAGCUCCCACACCCCCUCCCCAGCAACUCGACUGGGUCAAGUCCUCCUCGACUCGCCCACCCUCACCCCCACAUCCCACGGAGUUCCAUGUCCAUGCCACCAGAACCUUCUGGGUCAAGCCCUGCUCUCCCCCAGAUGGCUCCAGCUUGUUCCUCACCUGUGCAAUGUGCCUAGGACCAGACAAUGCUCUUGUCAACGCCACUUCUCAUUGUGAUCCCCCUGCUCAAAACGAUUCCAGUCAUCAAAGGUCAACAGCCCCACCUAAAAUCCAGGACGACUUUACGUCCGCCCAACGCAGAAGGUUUGCGUAAAUCACCACGCAAGCCCUGCAGCAUUCCUCUAUCAGAGAAGACGUGUGUGAGGCUAUCAUCGCUCUAGGAAAGAAUGCUCAUAACUUUAAGGGAAAAAAAUGCAUUCGGGGCACCUCACAGUUUUUUUGUUGUUUAUUUAUUUGUUUGUUUGUUUGUCUAUUUGUUUGUUUGUUUUUGAGACAUAGUCUCGCUCUGUUGCCCAGGCUGGAGUGCAAUGGCGUGAUCUCAGCUCACUGCAACCUCCACCUCCCGGGUUCAAGCGAUUCUCCUGCCUCAGCCUCCCAAGUACCUGGGAUUACAGGCAUGCACCACAACACCCGGGGAAUUUUUUGAAUUUUUAGUAGAGAUGGGGUUUCACCAUCUUGGCCAGGCUGGUCUUGAACUCCUGACAUAAGGUGAUCUGCCCUCCUUGGCCUCUCAAAGUGCUGGGAUGACAGGCAUGAGCCACCAUGUCCAGCCCACCUCAUAGUUUUAAAUGGCCCUUGCUGCUCCAUUGUUCAUGUCUGCAGAACUGGGGACGGCACCAGGCUGGGCCGUGCUGCUGCGCCUGCUCCAGGGUUGAGUGUCACUGCAGCUUGGCUCAUCCCGGGCAGCGGCUGUUCCUUCAGUUUGGCUCUGGCAUGAGGAAGCAGCGGCUGCAAGAGUCCCUGGGUCCCUGGCUGCAGGCGUGUGCCUGACCCAGGGCCCUGCGGUUGAGCUCUGAAACCUGUUAUGGUUGCCAUCCAAUGAACAGGCAACCAGGUGCAGGUGCUGAGGGGACACUGGGCUGACGAUGGGCUGUGGAGGGUCAGCGGGUCCUGGGCACCAGCCCUCUGUGCACAGAAUCACGUGCACCUGCUGGGGUUGCCCACUCCACUGACCGCAUCCACCCACAGCACUGUGAGCUCAGCACAUCC